AGUGAACGCUGGCGGUAGGCCUAACACAUGCAAGUCGAACGGCAGCACAGGAGAGCUUGCUCUCUGGGUGGCGUGUGGCGGACGGGUGAGGAAUACAUCGGAAUCUACUCUGUCGUGGGGGAUAACGUAGGGAAACUUACGCUAAUACCGCAUACGACCUACGGGUGAAAGCAGGGGACCUUCGGGCCUUGCGCGAUUGAAUGAGCCGAUGUCGGAUUAGCUAGUUGGCGGGGUAAAGGCCCACCAAGGCGAGGAUCCGUAGCUGGUCUGAGAGGAUGAUCAGCCACACGGGAACUGAGACACGGUCCAGACUCCUACGGGAGGCAGCAGUGGGGAAUAUUGGACAAUGGGCGCAAGCCUGAUCCAGCCAUACCGCGUGGGUGAAGAAGGCCUUCGGGUUGUAAAGCCCUUUUGUUGGGAAAGAAAUCCAGCUGGCUAAUACCCGGUUGGGAUGACGGUACCCAAAGAAUAAGCACCGGCUAACUUCGUGCCAGCAGCCGCCGUAA
rnacentral:rRNA from 1 species